GACGGAGGAUGCAAGUGUUAUCCGGAAUCACUGGGCGUAAAGCGUCUGUAGGUUGUUUAAAAAGUCUGCAGUUAAAGGUUGAAGCUUAACUUCAAAAAUGCCGUAGAAACUUUUAAACUAAGAGGAUGGUAGGGGUAGAGGGAAUUUCCAGUGGAGCGGUGAAAUGUGUAGAUAUUGGAAAGACCACCGAUGGCGAAGGCACUCUACUGGGCCAUUACUGACACUGAGAGACGAAAGCUAGGGGAGCGAAUGGG
rnacentral:rRNA from 1 species